UACAGAGGGGGCUAGCGUUAUUCGGAAUUAUUGGGCGUAAAGGGCGCGUAGGCGGCCAUGCGUGUCUUCCGUGAAAUCCCUCGGCUUAACUGAGGACGUGCGGAAGAAACUGCAAGGCUCGAGUCCGGGAGAGGGGGGUGGAACUGCGAGUGUAGAGGUGAAAUUCGUAGAUAUUCGCAAGAACACCAGUGGCGAAGGCGGCUCACUGGCCCGGUACUGACGCUGAGGCACGAAAGCGUGGGGAGCAAACAGG
rnacentral:rRNA from 1 species